rnacentral:rRNA from 1 species
UGCGCAGGUGGCCGCGCAUGUCGAGUGUGAAAUCCCCGAGCUUAACUUGGGAAUUGCGCUCGAAACUAUGUGGCUAGAGUGUGGCAGAGGGAGGUGGAAUUCCACGUGUAGCGGUGAAAUGCGUAGAGAUGUGGAGGAACACCAAUGGCGAAGGCAGCCUCCUGGGCCAACACUGACACUCAUGCACGAAAGCGUGGGGAGCAAACA